rnacentral:snRNA from 1 species
GAUCGCACAAGACUCCGCGU